rnacentral:rRNA from 1 species
CGGCWGCRCACGUAAGAGCUCGCUCUUAUGGGUGGCGAGUGGCGGACGGGUGAGGAAUACAUCGGAAUCUACCUUUUCGUGGGGGAUAACGUAGGGAAACUUACGCUAAUACCGCAUACGACCUUCGGGUGAAAGCAGGGGACCUUCGGGCCUUGCGCGGAUAGAUGAGCCGAUGUCGGAUUAGCUAGUUGGCGGGGUAAAGGCCCACCAAGGCGACGAUCCGUAGCUGGUCUGAGAGGAUGAUCAGCCACACUGGAACUGAGACACGGUCCAGACUCCUACGGGAGGCAGCAGUGGGGAAUAUUGGACAAUGGGCGCAAGCCUGAUCCAGCCAUACCGCGUGGGUGAAGAAGGCCUUCGGGUUGUAAAGCCCUUUUGUUGGGAAAGAAAAGCAGUCGAUUAAUACUCGGUUGUUCUGACGGUCCCAAAGAAUAAGCACCGGCUAACUUCGUGCCAGCAGCCGCGGUAAUACGAAGGGUGCAAGCGUUACUCGGAAUUACUGGGCGUAAAGCGUGCGUAGGUGGUUGUUUAAGUCUGUUGUGAAAGCCCUGGGCUCACCUGGGAAUUGCAGUGGAUACUGGCGACUAGAGUGUGGU